UACGGAGGGUGCUAGCGUUGUUCGGAAUUAUUGGGCGUAAAGAGCUCGUAGGCGGCCUGUCGCGUCGGAUGUGAAAGCCCGGGGCUUAACCCCGGGUCUGCAUUCGAUACGGGCAGGCUGGAGUGUGGUAGGGGAGAUCGGAAUUCCUGGUGUAGCGGUGAAAUGCGCAGAUAUCAGGAGGAACACCGGUGGCGAAGGCGGAUCUCUGGGCCAUUACUGACGCUGAGGAGCGAAAGCGUGGGGAGCGAACAGG
rnacentral:rRNA from 1 species